rnacentral:rRNA from 1 species
CUUUACUGCAACUUGACAUUGAUUCUUGGCUGUACUUGUGUAGGAUAGGUGGGAGACUUUGAAGCAGGGCCGCCAGGUCUUGCGGAGUCGUCGUUGAAAUACCACCCUGGUGCUGACGAGUUUCUAACCGUGUCCGUAAGCCGGACAUGAGACAGCGUCUGGUGGGCAGUUUGACUGGGGCGGUCGCCUCCUAAAAGGUAACGGAGGCAUUCAAAGGUCCCCUCAGCGUGGUCGGUAAUCACGCGCAGAGUGCAAACGCAUAAGGGGGCUUAACUGCGAGACCGACAGGUCGAGCAGGUACGAAAGUAGGAGUUAGUGAUCCCGCGGUUUAGCGUGGAAUUGCCGUUGCUCAAUGGAUAAAAGGUA